CACUAUCAGUUUUUUUUUUGUGGGAUUGCCGAUGAAAACAUCAGCAAACAGGGAGUAUUCCAAUCAGACAAUUAGUUCAUCUCCCAAUAUCCCUACGACAAGUAUAAGUGCUGUGACCUUAAGUGAAUCUUGGGUACUUGUCUUCCUAAGUAGAGUCAGGUCCUUCAGCGAUAUGCAUCAGGAAGUCGUUGCUUUCUUUGGCAAUAAGCUCUCCAUAAGGAAAUGCCGAAACCUGCGGCAUGUCGGGGUCGGUCCAUGACUAGGCACAACAAAAAAUGCGUCACGCAAAAGCGUGUCCGCAAUUGACAUUGUAUCGAUGCA
rnacentral:lncRNA from 1 species